rnacentral:rRNA from 1 species
UACAGGGGGGGCAAGCGUUGUUCGGAAUUACUGGGCGUAAAGGGUUUGUAGGUGGCCACUUAAGUCAGACGUGAAAUCCCUCAGCUUAACUGGGAACUGCGUCUGAUACUGCGUGGCUUGAGUGCAGGAGAGGAACGCGGAAUUCCAGGUGUAGCGGUGAAAUGCGUAGAUAUCUGGAGGAACACCGGUGGCGAAGGCGGCGUUCUGGACUGUAACUGACACUGAAAAACGAAAGCCAGGGGAGCAAACGGG